rnacentral:lncRNA from 1 species
UGGCCUUUGAUAUGCCGCUGCAAAGCUAUUUCUCGACUGUUUCUGCAUAUGUAAUACACUUGUUCUGAAAUCUUCUUUUAUUCCUCUCCAUCCAUGUGUAAUAAACUAUUACUGCAAAUAGAAAUGUGAGAACUUGAGCUCGUGGUCUACUGCUGUUUGUCCUCUUGAUCAGCCAUUUUAAUUCCUGUUCCCAACUUCCAAUGUUGAGUUUUUCUUUCAACCAGCCUACUAAAGCAGCCCAUAUUGAUCUAGAAUAAGCACAUUCAAAGAAAAGGUGAUCCAACGUCUCUUCUUUCUGGCUAGUGCAUAACACACAUUCCUUUGGCAAAUUAAAUUUCCAUUUUGCCAAUCUAUCCACUGUUGCUAACCUUUGGUUGAGAGUUAACAACAACAACAACUACCCAGUAUACUCCCACCAGGUAGGGUCUGGGGAGGGUAAUAUGUAGACAAGCCUUACCCCUACCCGAAAUCGAUGCCUUGGUAUAAAUUGAUGCCUUGGUAUAGUAACAUCUCCCAACACAAGAUUCUUCCAUGUAACUUUCUGAAAUUGAGGCCUUGCUGCUAUAUACGUUUUCUUGAUGCUAAACUUUCCUUGCUUGCAAAAUUCAUGUAGGCCUUUUACUUUAAUUAGAUUUAAUAUUGUCUAGAACUAUUGACUUAACUGAUUUCUUUUUUUCUCUCCUAUAGGUGAUGAUGAUGAUGGUAAUGGUGGUGAUGAUGACGAUGACGAGGAAGAGGAGGAUGAGUAUUAGCCAACGUAAUUUGGAUGAUCAUGUAUGAACUUUUAAGUUAGUGUGUGUUUUUAUUUUUUUCUCUUUUUUAAACCUGGAGUUCUUCACUCAUUUAAGGUCUUUGAGGGAAACAGUUGAAUCCUUUUUUCUUUCUUUUGGUUUAGACUAAGUUGCUAUUGCGUAUAAUGUUUUACAUGUCUAUUUUAUGUAAUCUUUGUGUUUUGAGAAAUUACUUAUAAAUUGCUCGGAGCAUUUUCUUUCAGAGCUUUACUUUUGUGGAUUGAUAUAAUAUCCAUGGUUUAGAUU